rnacentral:rRNA from 1 species
GACCCGUCUUGAAACACGGACCAAGAAGUCUAUCUUGCGCGCAAGUCAAUGGGAGUAGCAAACCCAAAGGCGAAGAUAACACAACUGCGUUAAGUCGUUGCGGGAUUACGGGUGCACCACAGUCCGCAAGGAUUGGCUAGCUGUGCCGACCCUCCAUCCCCGGGUGUUUAGCUGCGGUUCUGUAAUGUCGCGGACCCCCCGCCGGGGUGGGCAUUUGCAGUUCCAACGCGACAUACCGCGAGCGCGUAGGAUGUGACCCGAAAGAUGGUGAACUAUGCCUGAUCAGGUUGAAGUCAGGGGAAACCCUGAUGGAGGACCGAAGCAAUUCUGACGUGCAAAUCGAUUGUCAGAGUUGGGCAUAGGGGCGAAAGACCAAUCGAACCAUCUAGUAGCUGGUUCCUUCCGA